UCCAGCGCUCAGUCAGCUGUCCAGACGUGCUUGGUGUCUGGAACGGCGUUACAGUGCUGGUAGAGGAAGCUCCUGGAUCGGCCUCACUGCAGCAGGUUCUGUUUUAGGACCUGCUGCCGCUGAGCGGUCGCAGGGCGCAGCCCGGUGAGAGUGGACCGUCCUGGUUCUGCUGCGGGACGGUCCUAGUACGGGGCUAUACAAG
rnacentral:snoRNA from 1 species